CGCUUAUUGCGCGGCGAAACACCUUACACACAGUGUUUUUGAUUUCAGAAACUUUGCUUUGGUUUGGCGUAGAAAUACGUUGGGCCAGAGGUUUACUAAACUUCAAUUUUAUUGAAUUGUUUUUAUAAUCAGUCAGAAGAAAUAUAAUCUUCAAAACUUUCAACAACGGAUCUCUUGGUUCUCGCAUCGAUGAAGAACGCAGCGAAAUGCGAUAAGUAAUAUGAAUUGCAGAUAUUCGUGAAUCAUCGAAUCUUUGAACGCACAUUGCGCCCUCUGGUAUUCCGGAGGGCAUGCCUGUUUGAGCGUCAUUUCUCUCUCAAACCUCUGGUUUGGUAUUGAGUGACACUCUUUGGAGUAUACUUGAAAGAUAGUGGCACGAGUAGUACUGGAUAGUGCUUUCAUGAAGAUCAAUGUAUUAGGUUCUACCAACUCGUUGAAUUUCGUGAUGCAAAUUUCUGGUGUUUUGGCUCUGCCUUACAAAAUCCACACAAGUUUGACCUCAAAUCAGGUAGGACUACCCGCUGAACUUAAGCAUAUCAAUAAGCGGAGGAAAAGAAACCAACAGGGAUUGCCUUAGUAACGGCGAGUGAAGCGGCAAAAGCUCAAAUUUGAAAUCUGGCACUUUCAGUGUCCGAGUUGUAAUUUGAAGAAGGUAUCUUUGGAGUCAGCUCUUGUCUAUGUUCCUUG
rnacentral:rRNA from 1 species